GAUGAACGCUGGCGGCGUGCCUAAUACAUGCAAGUCGAGCGAACGGACGAGAAGCUUGCUUCUCUGAUGUUAGCGGCGGACGGGUGAGUAACACGUGGAUAACCUACCUAUAAGACUGGGAUAACUUCGGGAAACCGGAGCUAAUACCGGAUAAUAUUUUGAACCGCAUGGUUCAAAAGUGAAAGACGGUCUUGCUGUCACUUAUAGAUGGAUCCGCGCUGCAUUAGCUAGUUGGUAAGGUAACGGCUUACCAAGGCAACGAUGCAUAGCCGACCUGAGAGGGUUGUCCGCCACACUGGGACUGGGACACGGUCCAGACUCCUACGGGAGGCAGCCGUAGGGGAUCUUCCGCAAUGGGCGGAAGCCUGACGGAGCAACGCCGCGUGAGUGGUGAAGGUCUUCGGAUCGUAAAACUCUGUUAUUAGGGAAGAACAUAUGUGUAAGUAACUGGGCACAUCUUGGCGGUACCUAAUCAGAAAGCCACGGCUAACUACGUGC
rnacentral:rRNA from 1 species